rnacentral:rRNA from 1 species
GACGAACGCUGGCGGCGUGCUUAACACAUGCAAGUCGAACGGAAAGGCCCUGCUUUUGUGGGGUGCUCGAGUGGCGAACGGGUGAGUAACACGUGAGUAACCUGCCCUUGACUUUGGGAUAACUUCAGGAAACUGGGUCUAAUACCGGAUAGGAGCUCCUGCUGCAUGGUGUGGGUGGGAAAGUUUCGGCGGGUGGGGAUGGACUCGCGGCUUAUCAGCUUGUUGGUGGGGUAGUGGCUUACCAAGGCUUUGACGGGUAGCCGGCCUGAGAGGGUGACCGGCCACAUUGGGAUUGAGAUACGGCCCAGACUCCUACGGGAGGAAGCAGUGGGGAAUAUUGCACAAUGGGCGGAAGCCUGAUGCAGCAACGCCGCGUGCGGGAUGACGGCCUUCGGGUUGUAAACCGCUUUCGCCUGUGACGAAGCGUGAGUGACGGUAACGGGUAAAGAAGCACCGGCUAACUACGUG